rnacentral:rRNA from 1 species
AUUGAACGCUGGCGGCAGGCCUAACACCUGCAAGUCGAGCGAGCGGCGGACGGGUGAGUAAUGUAUGGGGAUCUGCCUGAUGGCGGGGGAUAACUACUGGAAACGGUAGCUAAUACCGCAUACCAUCAGCUGAACCCAUAUGGGAUUAGCUAGUAGGUAAGGUAACGGCUUACCUAGGCGACGAUCCCUAGCUGGUCUGAGAGGAUGAUCAGCCACACUGGGAAGGUGACACGGCCCAGACUCCGACGGGAGGCAGCAGUGGGGAAUAGUGCACAAGGGGCGCAAGCCUGAUGCAGCCAUGCCGCUUGUAUGAAGAAGGCCUUCGGGUUGUAAAGUACUUUCAGUCGGGAGGCGUUACCGACAGAAGAAGCACCGGCUAACUCCGUGCCAGCAGCCGCGGUAAUUC